GCCUCACGCAGCCCCGGACCCCGGGCACGGCCCCCGGGCACCGGGGGAGCGGCGUCUGCCGGCAGCCCCGUACCAGAGAAACCGCUCGCUCCGGCGAAGCGAGUCGUGCUAGUACAGGCCGCAGCGCUCAGGUAGGGCCUGUCAGCGAAAGCCGGCCUCGGCCUCUGCCAGGGGGGGGUCGUGCCACAGGAGCUGGGGGGGCCGGUGUGACCCGGGGGGGGCCGGCACACCGCUUGGUGCGGCGCCAGCCGAUCCAGGACACAGGAUUUUCCCUACCGGGUGGGAAUUCAUUUGCCUCGGCGAGUGAGCCCGACCUCCCUCCUCCUCUGGCGGCCGGCCGUCUUGCGCCUUCUAACCGGUCACCCCUCACAGCAGUGGGUUUGGGUCUGAACAGAGCCAGGAGCAGCGUUCCUCCUUUUCACUCCACUACCAGGAGAGAGCUGGUGUAGUCAAAAGUAACAAAACCUGCUCUCGGUCAUGAGAUUUGCCCAAAGGUACCUCUUGGAAGCUACCUUGCUUGAAAGCAUGUUAAGGUAUAGCCGUUCCUUUCCCCUGCCACUGCAUGUUACUUAUUAACUGUGGAGAACUGUCGGCAUUUGAAAGUAGGCCGUGGAUGAAUGCUUCAUUAAAAUACACCUUGAAAAACACAUUCUGUGAGAUCAUUUUUAAAAUGCGAAUUAUAUGUACCUAAAAAAUUAGAUAGAUAUAUUCUGUAAAUAUAGAAGAAAGGUAGCAAAAAUGGAGACCUGGCAAGUUUCUGGUAAAAACUGCUGUUUGCCAUUUUAUCUGGAUAGAAAUGUAUUUUAGUUUUUGUGUUCAUAUUUGUAUCCCCUUUCUGAAAAAUGUGACCUUCAAAAGAGGGAAGAGGGGACAGGAAACACAACAGCGUCUUUUAUUUGCCUGUUGAGUUCUAUGUUCAUGUUUGUUCCUGUAAGCCUCAAAAUGCCGUACUUUGUACACACGAUUUCGCCUUUACAGUGUGUCACCACAAGAUAAGAAAAUGAAACUGAAGUUUCUGUCUCCGGCUGACCGAAGCUGGAGCUGCAAGACUUUUUCUUGGUGAAUUGUUUUCUACCGGCAGUAUGUGCAGAGUGUCGAUUUACCUAUGCCUGCGAAACCACGCUUCAGAUGUGUUCUUGAAACCACCUCCUACCAAAAGCAUAGUUUUGCUGAAAUAAUUAGUUAGAAAUGCUUCUGGUACAGCUGUGUCCCACCGCUUCUUAUCCCAGUUGACAUAGCUGUCAGUUAAAGGUUUGGUUUGGGUUUUUUUAUAGAUGCAGCUAGGGGGCUUGCUAGCAUAAAACCCACUAAAAAGCCUCUAGACUAGACCUACACGUAGCACACUUGGCUUGAGAAUCACCAGCAACUGAUAAUUAAAGAAGUUUUGCUGGAUAGCUGUGAAAUUAUAUUACUACAUGAGAAAAUAUAUCAAGCUGGAUUGUUACCGGUACCCAAGCUGACAUGCCACCAACUCACCUUCUGAAAUGACAUCUUGGUGGGUCAAGGGAGAUUGGAGGACUCAAAACCCAGGUAUAUUUUACUCUGGCAGUUCUGUGUCAUCUUCAGCUAGCCAGGCAGACAUUUAUUACUGUUCUGUGUUACCUGUGGCUGGGCGACAUUUUGCUGGACAAGGUUCUGGGUUGCUACAGAAACUGUCUCUGCAGAUCCAUUCAGUCAAGCAAGGCUCUAGUGACAAGACUCAUGCUUUCAGCAGGAACAUAAAUAAUUCACAUUUUUGCUGGCCUGCUCUCCAUGCCUUCCCUACAAGCAGGCUGGCGGCUCAAAGGGAAGCAGCUAUGAUUAGAUGGAACUCAUACCUAGAGAGUUCAAGGCACAUUCACUUAAGUAUAUUAUAUUUUCAAAACUUUUUGCUUCAGAGCCUAAUUUGGCCAUAAUUGGAGAGGGGCAACACCACCAAGCCUCUCUGUCAACCGUUUUUCAGAAAGAUAAUGGGAGGGACUCUUUGUUUAACUAAACCUGCUCCUAUCACAUGGCAUCACACUCCACCAGUUGUCCCUCACUGCAGUACAGCCACAAAGGAGGCAGCUGGCUUUCUGACUGAUAAAGCACGCAGUCACGUAACACUGGAAUUAACCUGGAAAAGAUCCCCGGUGUUUCAGAUUUGCCUGGCUGUCCCAACCCACGGGUAGCAGCAGCCAUUGACACAGAUAUCAGUGGGUAACCGUAGCGGUGAAGGACUCACAGCAUUUCGGCUCUGUUUAUGCAUAGUGCUAGGACUGCUUGUUAAAAAUUGACAUUAAGCUGCAUGACUUCUAAAAUACUUCUUCUACACGCAAAUUCAAGAGGUUCCCUCUGUACAAGUUGUAAACCCUUUUCACUCUGUUUUUUUCCCAUCUAUGCAAACUAUCAGUCCAGUAUUUAAUCCAUCCCCCCUCUCAGCCAUGUUUCUGUUCAGAUCUGGGAGUUCAACUCUACUGCAACAACAACAUCCCCUUUUACAACUAUUUUCAAUGAAUAUGGGAUGGUUGUCAACAAGUGUGGGAUGGAUGUCAAUGACUAUGGGAAAAAUGUCAAUGAAUAUGGGAUAGAUGAGAGUCUGCAGCAGUGUUUGGGCAAGCCAAGUUCUCGUGCACCUUUAGCCAGUCAAUCACCCAAGAUCUUUGUGAGUAAAUUCCAUGUAGUUAAUUAGUAUUUCAGCUGUAUUUGUGUUUAAUGUGACUGCAGCUAGCCUGGUCUCCGCUCAAGUCAUGGACUGACCUUUUUGUUAUUACAGUGUGGUCUGAUAAGAAGCACACUGUAUGGUAUGUAAUCCAUGUAAAAAUAAAAAAAAACUCCUUUAGUA